AAAAAGGCAAACCGCGGGUUACCGUGCCAACAUUUGACUGUCCGUUUUAUAUGAAAAUUUUUUAUAACUAGUAUUUUUAUUGUUGUUAGAUGAUAAAACUUGAUUAAUACUUUAAGCGUGACUUACUUUUUAAUUUUUUUUAAAUAAGAUGGACGGUCAAACGUUGGAUAUGGAAACCAGUGUUUGUCUUUUUU
rfam:Oryza meridionalis cultivar OR44 (W2112) chromosome 4, whole genome shotgun sequence.